AUUUGACUCAACGCGGGAAAUCUUACCGGGUCCGGACACACUGAGGAUUGACAGGCAAUUUCUCAUGGUUAUUAACCCGGUUAUUACAUUUGUUUAAUCGGUUAUUAAGCAUCGAGUGUUAAAUAUGCUAGUCCUUUCAUGAUUAUGUGAUAGGUGGUGCAUGGCCGUUCUUAGUUCGUGGAGUGAUCUGUCUGCUUAAUUGCGUUUCACUAAGGGCCCAUAAAUUCAAGGUAUGUUAGCUAUCGUCGCUCUAUGGACCCCUUAUAC
rnacentral:rRNA from 1 species